UGGACCACUGGAACCAAAUUUUUGGGGAAAAUGAUGCUGAAGGUGAUAAACAAAAAAACAGGUGAUGCACGUCCCACCCUGACAGUGCUGCCCCCCUCCCGUGAGGAGCUGCAGCAGGGUACCACGGCCACGCUCAUGUGCCUGGCCAACAAGGGCUUCCCCUCAGGCUGGAGUCUGGCCUGGAAGGUGGGCGGCAUCGGCAGCAUCAGCGGGGAGGAGAGCAGGAGCCCUGCGGUGCUGGAGAGGGACACUCUCUACAGCUGGAGCAGCACCCUGAGGAUCACUGCAGACCAGUGGAGCAAGGUGGGCUCUGUGACCUGUGAGGCCACCCAGGGCUCCCAGACUCCAGUCACAGAGACUCUGAGGAAAGACCAGUGUUCCCAGUUCUGAUCUGACUCACUGGGACUCUGCUGCUGGUUUUAAUCUAUG